rnacentral:rRNA from 1 species
AACGUAGGAGGCGAGCGUUAUCCGGAUUUACUGGGUGUAAAGCGCGUGUAGGCGGUCGUGCAAGUGGUGCGUGAAAGCGCCCGGCUCAACCGGGCGAGGACGUGGACGAACUGCGCGACUAGAGGCAGGUAGAGGCGUGUGGAAUUCCGGGUGUAGUGGUGAAAUGCGUAGAGAUCCGGAGGAACACCAGUGGCGAAGGCGACACGCUGGGCCUGGCCUGACGCUGAGAGGCGAAAGCAUGGGGAGCGAA